GCAAUUCUAUGCACUACGAUUUUAGGUCAUUGCAAUGUGGUUUUAUUCUGUGCAAUAUAAUCUGAAAUAUGUACUCGGACAAUUGCAGUUGGCCAAUUGGGGAGUAUAGUCGACCUUUGGCUAUAAGAUGUGUAUGUAAACAUACUGACGGUACAGCAAAUGCAACUGUGUUGGGAGCGUUUCACCUGGUAGCCUGGAAGCUAGUUUGCUCCAACGCAACUGUGUUGGGAGCGUUUCACCUGGUAGCUUGGAAGCUAGUUUGCUCCAACGCAACUGUGUUGGGAGCGUUUCACCUGGUAGCUUGGAAGGUAGUUUGCUCCAACGUAACUGUGUUGGGAGCGUUUCACCUGGUAGCCUGGAAGCUAGUUGCUCCAACGCAACUGUGUUGGGAGCGUUUCACCUGGUAGCUUGGAAGGUAGUUUGCUCCAACGCAACUUUGUUGGGAGCCUUUCGCCUGGUAGCUAACCUGUGUGUUGUAUUUAUUCAUAUUACUUAAUUGUUUAGCAUCUGCAUUAGCUAGCUAUAGCUGCUGUGUACGGGGAAUGGGUUAGCCUAGCGAUUUUUAGUACUUGCACUUGGUCCUAUGAACAUCAACACCGGCAAAUUCAUAUUUGUAGUACUGCAAAUUUAAAUUUUUGACAAAUUUUCCAUUUCAAUAUUUUGUCAAAUUUCACAAAGUCCAUUCCAAGAUAUCUACAGACUUCAGCAAUGGAGGCAAGUAAGGUUUAUCACUUUCUAUGGCAAUUUACUUGAGUUAAAUUAUUUGCUCUAUAAAAACAUAUGGUUAUCACUGUACCAUAAUCAUCUUGCUAGAUAUGCCUCAUGCUGUCCUUUAUAUUACUUAUAUGCAAGGAAUUUAAGCAUUGACAAUUAUUUAUGAACGUUGAACCAUGAAAGAAUUGAAUUAUUUUUGUUCAGGGGUGGGUUUGCCCCUGAACAUUUAAUUUCAAGAUCAGUGUUCUACAGCGUUUGUCAAAUUCAGGACUGGCGCUGGAAGCUGUAGGUGGAGGGAAGACCAGGAAGGGUGCAGCUCUGCAGAUGCUGAAGGUGUGCCAAAGGGUCACGUGUGUUCCUGAAGGGACUGAGGCGACGCAGUCGGAGGUCCCGGCGGUGGCGGUCAGCGGGAGGUGUCGAGACCAACCAGCUCCUCGUCCAGGAAAGGUCACGAUGGAAGAGCAGAUGGCUGUGCAGUUGCCAUGGUGCAGAGACCCAGAGUAUGAUGACCGAACAAUGGAUCUACAACGAUGGCCUACUCCCCAUCCACCCUGAGGAUCCCUGGCUGCACCUACAAUCCAAUCUACCCCAGACAUAACCACUUGGAGCUCAACAACUCCUACAACUCCUCCUGCCUCCUACACACCAUACUGUUACCACUUUACCAUUUUAACUUUAAAAAAAAAAAGUACUGUAAUUCACACCAUGUUGUAGGAAAAGCAUGUUUAGCUCAAUGAUUUAUACAUUCUAUUUCUGUGACCCCAACUAUUGUAUUUCUAACCCAGUUACCUCUGAACCCUCUUUCUAAGGGAGCGACUAAAGGGACAAAGCUGGAGCUAACCUGAGCUUAACAAUCGUUCUUUCAAAUGUCCUAAAUUGAAACAUAUAAAAUGCCUAAAGUAACUUGUCUAACAAAACAAAAAGCCAACCUAAUACCCAAACUUAACCAUCUAACUCUAAAGAUCUCAAAUGCCUAAACUCUCUUACCUUAAACGAGUACCUAAACCGAACCAUUUAACUAAACAUCUCAAAGGCAUAAACUCGCUUACCUCAACCUAACCUAAUACCCAAACUUAACCAUCUAACUGAAGAGCUCAAACACCUAAACUCUUACCUUAACCUAGUACCUAAACUGAACCAUCUAACUAAACAUCUCUAAUAACUAAACUCUUUCCUAAUACCUAAACAAUCUUUAAUGCAAUCACUAAUGCCUAAACUUAAACAAACACCAAUAAUAAAAGUUAAGCAUCCUUAAUCUUAAACCCAAACCAGACUUGUCCCUGGGUCGCUCCACUUUGUGUCUUUGAAGGCAUCUC